AAUAGAUACCCGGGUAGCCCACGCCCUAAACGAUGCGAACUGGAUGUUGGGCACACUUAGGUGCUCAGUGUCGAAGCUAACGCGUUAAGUUCGCCGCCUGGGGAGUACGGUCGCAGGACUGAAACUCAAAGGAAUUGACGGGGGCCCGCACAAGCGGUGGAGUAUGUGGUUUAAUUCGAUGCAACGCGAAGAACCUUACCUGGCCUUGACAUGUCCGGAAUCCUGCAGAGAUGCGGGAGUGCCUUCGGGAAUCGGAACACAGGUGCUGCAUGGCUGUCGUCAGCUCGUGUCGUGAGAUGUUGGGUUAAGUCCCGCAACGAGCGCAACCCUUGUCCUUAGUUGCCAGCACGUAAUGGUGGGAACUCUAAGGAGACUGCCGGUGACAAACCGGAGGAAGGUGGGGAUGACGUCAAGUCAUCAGUGGCCCUUACGGCCAGGGCUACACACGUACUACAAUGGUUGGUACAGAGGGUUGCAAUACCGCGAGGUGAGCCAAUCCCAGAAAGCCAAUCUCAGUCCGGAUCGGAGU
rnacentral:rRNA from 1 species